rnacentral:rRNA from 1 species
UACGUAGGGGGCAAGCGUUGUCCGGAUUUAUUGGGCGUAAAGAGCGUGUAGGCGGCCAUGUAGGUCCGUUGUGAAAACUCGAGGCUCAACCUCGAGACGCCGAUGGAAACCAUGUGGCUAGAGUCCGGAAGAGGAGAGUGGAAUUCCUGGUGUAGCGGUGAAAUGCGCAGAUAUCAGGAAGAACACCCGUGGCUAAGGCGGCUCUCUGGGACGUGACUGACGCUGAGACGCGAAAGCGUGGGGAGCAAACAGG